UAACCCGUGCCCUAGCACAAGGUUUUCAGCUGUGUCAAUUGGAAAUUCUUCAACCUUGGAUUUAAAAGUGAUACAUCCAGAUUUAGGACUUUGACGCGAGACGAGU